AUUGAACGCUGGCGGCAGGCUUAACACAUGCAAGUCGAGCGGGGUGAUGGUGCUUGCACUAUCACUUAGCGGCGGACGGGUGAGUAAUGCUUAGGAAUCUGCCUAUUAGUGGGGGACAACAUCUCGAAAGGGAUGCUAAUACCGCAUACGUCCUACGGGAGAAAGCAGGGGAUCACUUGUGACCUUGCGCUAAUAGAUGAGCCUAAGUCGGAUUAGCUAGUUGGUGGGGUAAAGGCCUACCAAGGCGACGAUCUGUAGCGGGUCUGAGAGGAUGAUCCGCCACACUGGGAAUGAGACACGGCCCAGACUCCUACGGGAGGCAGGAGUGGGGAAUAUUGGACAAUGGGGGGAACCCUGAUCCAGCCAUGCCGCGUGUGUGAAGAAGGCCUUAUGGUUGUAAAGCACUUUAAGCGAGGAGGAGGCUCUUUUGGUUAAUACCCAAGAUGAGUGGACGUUACUCGCAGAAUAAGCACCGGCUAACUCUGUGCCAGCCGCCGCAGUAA
rnacentral:rRNA from 1 species